rnacentral:rRNA from 1 species
AUCCUGGCUCAGAUUGAACGCUGGCGGCAGGCCUAACACAUGCAAGUCGAAUGGUAACAGGAAACAGCUUGCUGUUUCGCUGACGAGUGGCGGACGGGUGAGUAAUGUCUGGGAAACUGCCUGAUGGAGGGGGAUAACUACUGGAAACGGUAGCUAAUACCGCAUAACGUCGCAAGACCAAAAGAGGGGGGACCUUCGGGGCCUCUUGCCAUCAGAUGUGCCCAGAUGGGAUUAGCUAGUAGGUGGGGUAACGGCUCACCUAGGCGACGAUCCCUAGCUGGUCUGAGAGGAUGACCAGCCACACUGGAACUGAGACACGGUCCAGACUCCUACGGGAGGCAGCAGUGGGGAAUAUUGCACAAUGGGCGCAAGCCUGAUGCAGCCAUGCCGCGUGUAUGAAGAAGGCCUUCGGGUUGUAAAGUACUUUCAGCGGGGAGGAAGGGAGUAAAGUUAAUACCUUUGCUCAUUGACGUUACCCGCAGAAGAAGCACCGGCUAACUCCGUG